rnacentral:rRNA from 1 species
AUUGAACGCUGGCGGCAUGCUUUACACAUGCAAGUCGAACGGCAGCGCGGGCUUCGGCCUGGCGGCGAGUGGCGAACGGGUGAGUAAUACAUCGGAACGUGCCCAGUAGUGGGGGAUAGCUCGGCGAAAGCCGGAUUAAUACCGCAUACGACCUGAGGGUGAAAGCGGGGGAUCUUCGGACCUCGCGCUAUUGGAGCGGCCGAUGGCAGAUUAGCUAGUUGGUGGGGUAAAGGCCUACCAAGGCGGCGAUCUGUAGCUGGUCUGAGAGGACGACCAGCCACACUGGGACUGAGACACGGCCCAGACUCCUACGGGAGGCAGCAGUGGGGAAUUUUGGACAAUGGGCGAAAGCCUGAUCCAGCAAUGCCGCGUGUUUGAUGAAGGCCUUCGGGUUGUAAAGCACUUUUGGCGGGAACGAAAAGGACUGUGCCAAUACCACGGUUCGAUGACGGUACCCGCAGAAUAAGCACCGGCUAACUACGUG